UACGGGGGGGGCAAGCGUUGUUCGGAAUUACUGGGCGUAAAGGGCUCGUAGGCGGCCAACUAAGUCAGACGUGAAAUCCCGCGGCUCAACCGGGGAACUGCGUCUGAUACUGGGUGGCUUGAAUCCGGGAGAGGGAUGCGGAAUUCCAGGUGUAGCGGUGAAAUGCGUAGAUAUCUGGAGGAACACCGGUGGCGAAGGCGGCAUCCUGGACCGGCAUUGACGCUGAGGCGCGAAAGCCAGGGGAGCAAACGGG
rnacentral:rRNA from 1 species